UACGUAGGGUGCGAGCGUUAAUCGGAAUUACUGGGCGUAAAGCGUGCGCAGGCGGUGAUGUAAGACCGGUGUGAAAUCCCCGGGCUUAACCUGGGAACUGCAUUGGUGACUGGCAGGCUUUGAGUGUGGCAGAGGGAGGUAGAAUUCCACGUGUAGCAGUGAAAUGCGUAGAGAUGUGGAGGAAUACCGAUGGCGAAGGCAGCCUCCUGGGCCAACACUGACGCUCAUGCACGAAAGCGUGGGGAGCAAACAGG
rnacentral:rRNA from 1 species